rnacentral:lncRNA from 1 species
CAGAAGAAGAAGAGCCUUCAUCAUCAUCAUCAUCAUCAUCACACGGAGAGGGGCGGUAUGGGGGGGGGAGCCUUCAUCGUCAUCGGCUAGAGCCUUCCUCCCC